AUUGAAUAGUUUCAUGUAUAUGAGCUACACAGGGUCAUUAACCUCAUAAGACAAAGUGAUGAUUCCAGGGGCUGAGGACAAGGAAUGCAAAUUUUUGAGAUUCAGAGUUUCAGAUUGGGAAAAAGGAAGAAGUUGCAGAGACCGAUGGUGCUCCCAGGCCGACCAUAAAAGGAUAAGCACUCCUUUGUCACUCACGACCUUGACAGUGGAGCAGUUCUUUCUCUGGUCUCACCUUCAGGCUCCUGCUGUGGCCUGUGAAAGCAAUGGAGGACGGCCUUGAGACCCUGCACCCGUGUGGGAAACCUGGAAGAAGCUCAUGGCUCCUGGAUUUGGAUUGGCUCAGCUCCAGACAUUGCUGCUACUUGGAGAGUGAACCAGCAGAUGGAAGAGCUUUCUGUCUUUCCUUCACUCUGUAA